UCUCAAUAAAAGAGAAGAAGUCCAUCACAAAAUCAUGAAUUUUACUACUAAAGUUUUAGGGGUAAUUUUUCUUAUAAGUUUAAUUUUUCUAACAAAUAUUGAAGCUAUCGAUGAGCUCGCACAAGUAUCUUGUGAAAGAAAGUGUCGAGCAUGGUGUGUUUUCGAUCUUUGCUUUCAAAAUUGUUUGAAAAAAAAAUGUCAUGUGGUUCCUCCUAGUUCUUCAAAAGCAUCGAAUUGUCAACGUACUUGUUCAGUUCAUCGUUGCUCUAAAUUUAAAGAAGAUGUAAAGCUAAUGGGAAAUUGCUUGGAUGAAUGUUCAACAAAAUAUUGCACCUAGGGUUAAUUCCAUGUAAUGUUACACAAGCUACUUGUGUUGAAAAAGCAAAGUAAUGCAAAUAAAAAAAAAAUGCAAUCUUGAUGAUUAACAAUGUAAAUCAAGAUUUAUAUUUUAAUGAAAAAAAGUACUUUUGAUAA